UCGCGGGAUGGAGCAGUUAGGUAGCUCAGUUGGUAGAGCAAUGGAUUGAAGCUCCAUGUGUCGGCGGUUCGAUUCCGUCUCGCGCC
rnacentral:tRNA from 1 species